rfam:Gossypium raimondii Chr06_contig_786, whole genome shotgun sequence.
UAGUAAAAAUUUCAUCCAUUUCUACUGUUAAUAAUUGGCACUGCUAACACAAUAACUAGAUAAUUACACAUGGCAUGCCAUGUGUACUUCAUUCUGAUAUAUAGGGAUCAAUUUUUAACAGUAGAAAGGGAUGAAAAUUUUAACA